AAGUCGUAACAAGGUCUCCGUAGGUGAACCUGCGGAGGGAUCAUUACACAACAAAAUAUGAAGGCCUGGCUUCGCGGCCGGCUGAAAUAUUUUUUUUCACCCGUGUCUUUUGCGCACUUGUUGUUUCCUGGGCGGGCUCGCCCGCCACCAGGACCAAACCAUAAACCUUUUUCUUUUGCAGUUUUCAUCAGCGUCAGUAAAAAACAAUGUAAUUAUUACAACUUUCAACAACGGAUCUCUUGGUUCUG
rnacentral:misc_RNA from 1 species